AUCGCUUCUCGGCCUUUUGGCUAAGAUCAAGUGUAGUAUCUGUUCUUACUCCGGUGGAUAUUAAGUGGCAGAGAGACAAGCUCCAUAUCCUUG
rnacentral:snRNA from 2 species